AUAUUUCACAAAGGGCGAAAGCCUCAUGCACCAACGCCUCGCGAGAGAGGAAGGUUUUCGGAUCGUAAAACUCUUCUGUAAGGGAAGAACAAGUACAGUAGUAACUGGCUGUACCUUGACGGUACCUUAUUAGAAAGCGACGGCUAACUACGUGCCAGCAGCCGCGGUAAUGCGUAGGGGGCAAGCGUUGUCCGGAAUUAUUGGGCGUAAAGCGCGCGCAGGCGGGACGUUAAGUCUGAUGUGAAAGCCCACGGCUCAACCGGGGAGGGGCAUUGGAAACUGGGGGACUUGAGUGCAGAAGAGGAAAGUGGAAUUCCAAGUGUAGCGGUGGAACGCGUAGAGAUUUGGAGGAACACCAGUGGCGAAGGCGACUUUCUGGUCUGUAACUGACGCUGAGGCGCGAAAGCGUGGGGAGCAAACAGG
rnacentral:rRNA from 1 species